rnacentral:rRNA from 1 species
AUUGAACGCUGGCGGCAGGCCUAACACAUGCAAGUCGAGCGGAUGAAGGGAGCUUGCUCCUGGAUUCAGCGGCGGACGGGUGAGUAAUGCCUAGGAAUCUGCCUGGUAGUGGGGGAUAACGUCCGGAAACGGGCGCUAAUACCGCAUACGUCCUGAGGGAGAAAGUGGGGGAUCUUUGGACCUCACGCUAUCAGAUGAGCCUAGGUCGGAUUAGCUAGUUGGUGGGGUAAAGGCCUACCAAGGCGACGAUCCGUAACUGGUCUGAGAGGAUGAUCAGUCACACUGGAACUGAGACACGGUCCAGACUCCUACGGGAGGCAGCAGUGGGGAAUAUUGGACAAUGGGCGAAAGCCUGAUCCAGCCAUGCCGCGUGUGUGAAGAAGGUCUUCGGAUUGUAAAGCACUUUAAGUUGGGAGGAAGGGCAGUAAGUUAAUACCUUGCUGUUUUGACGUUACCAACAGAAUAAGCACCGGCUAACUUCGUG